rnacentral:rRNA from 1 species
UACGGAGGGUGCGAGCGUUGUCCGGAAUCAUUGGGCGUAAAGGGCGCGUAGGUGGCCCGGUCAGCGUGCGGUGAAAGCUCGGGGCUCAACCCCGAGUCGGCCGUGCGAACUGCUGGGCUCGAGCACUGUAGAGGCAGGCGGAAUUCCGGGUGUAGCGGUGGAAUGCGUAGAGAUCCGGAAGAACACCGGUGGCGAAGGCGGCCUGCUGGGCAGUGGCUGACACUGAGGCGCGACAGCGUGGGGAGCAAACAGGG